rnacentral:rRNA from 1 species
GACGUAGGAGGCGAGCGUUGUCCGGAGUUACUGGGCGUAAAGCGCGCGCAGGCGGUCACGCAGGUCAUCUGUGAAAGCACCCGGCUCAACCGGGUUGUUGCGGGUGAAACCGCGUGACUUGAGGUCGGGAGGGGUCGGUGGAAUUCCCGGUGUAGUGGUGAAAUGCGUAGAGAUCGGGAGGAACACCCGUAGCGAAGGCGGCCGACUGGACCGAUCCUGACGCUGAGGCGCGAAGGCCAGGGGAGCGAACGGG